rnacentral:sRNA from 1 species
GUCUUAUCUGGACUCAGCAAAGAUAAGGAAAAGAGGGAAGAAAAUGUUAGAAAUUCAUUCUGGAUUUAUGACAUUGUGAGGAAUAGUUGGUCUUGUGUCUAUAAGAAUGAUCAAGCUGCAAAGGAUAAUCCAACUAAAAGUCUUCAGGAAGAAGAACCGUGUCCAAGGUUUGCCCAUCAGCUUGUAUACGAUGAGCUACACAAGGUUCAUUACUUAUUUGGUGGGAAUCCAGGAAAAUCUUGCUCUCCAAAGAUGAGAUUAGAUGACUUCUGGUCACUGAAGUUGUGUAGACCUUCAAAAGAUUAUUUACUGAGGCAUUGCAAGUACCUCAUAAGAAAACACAGGUUUGAAGAAAAGGCCCAAAUGGAUCCCCUUAGUGCUCUGAAAUAUUUACAAAAUGAUCUUUAUAUAACUGUGGAUCAUUCAGACCCAGAAGAGACAAAAGAGGCUUUUCUGAUGUGGAUCACACCUAUGCUCAAAGAACUCAGCUCUUUGACACCUUAGUAAAUUUCUUUCCUGACAGCAUGACUCCUCCUAAAGGCAACCUGGUAGACCUCAUCACACUGUAACUGAAGAGUCACUGGACACAGAAAUGGAAAACAGGAGUCGAUUUUCCGUCUUUUGGAUUGCAGCUCCACUGACUGACAGUAAAGCUGCAGUGAUUGAGGACUGCACCAGAGUUCUGAAGGGAUCUUAACCAUCACAAGUUUUUACCCUCUUCCUUCAUGCCUGACCUCAACCCCGCUCUCCUCAUCCUAUUCCUAAAUUAGGCUAAUAAAGUGAAAUUGGUAUACUUUCCAGUUAAAUAUAUAUAUAUAUAUUUUUUCUUACUUUAUCUUUUAAGAAUUAAUGAGUAUAAAAGAAAAAUUAGGCAGUUUACCCUUUUCAGAUUUUUAUUUCUUUUUUUUUUUUAAUUGGGGGAAAUAAGCACUAUUAACAGAUUCAGCACUACAAGUAUUUUGAAUGUUGUUGCUGUUGGUCAUUUGGCCUGCCUUUUCCCUUCCCAUUUCACUUUGCCUCCCAUCACACAACUGCGUGUAAAUGGUGUCACUUGUUCACCUCUUUACUUCAUUCUUAACAAGUGUAUAGUUCUCUAGGACAGUUGAUGUAUGUUAAGGUGAUAUCUGUGUCUGUAUUGACUUGUCUUGUGUUACAUUAAACAGUAGGCAGAACUGAGGUCUCAAGUUUGCACUCUUGGCCAUAGAACUAAAAAUGAAACCUGAGAUUGACCCAAGCACCUAUCUGAGAUUGGUAUAUAAUAUUUCUAUAAUGAUAUAUUUUAUAGUAGAUAUUACAAUAGCAUCUGACUUUGAGUCACAGAAACCUUAAACUGAGGAGACAAUAGUUGAGAACCUUUAAGAGCCAUUCUAAAAAUGACCAGCAGGAGGGAUCUAGUAGUGAAUAAUAUCUUAAUAGCAAUUUUAGGAGAAAAUGACUCUUUCGUCCAGAAGAGCUCUGCAGAACCAGGGCUCCCAUUUAUCUUGUGCUAUCUCUGUAGUAUUUUCAUUUGAGAGAGGAGGCUGAGUUUCCAGAGCUUUGCUUUCAUUUAUUUUUAUACACAUUGUCUCUCUAUAUCUGCUUGUGGAUAUUGUUAUUUUGAAGAGAAAUGGUUUGUGGUUGUCCAGUGGUAUACAACUGACAGGCAUUUCAUUAAGCACAUAGACCAGACUUUGUGAAUGGUUCAGAUAUUUUUUCAUUAAAAAACAAGGUAUGGCAGAUGGACUUUUCCAUGGGUCAAAUUUUUUGUGUGAGAGAUAGAGGUACAUGUCUUCUGAUGAUGUGCUGUGGAAUGCAAUGUGGGAAACCUACAUCUGGCUAGUGCUUACAUUUGCUCAAAAAGCAUGUUGUAUGAAGCUGACUGCCACCAUGCUAAAGCAGAUUCAUAUUAAGAAGUGUCGGUCGAUCCAGUGGCUCUUAAGAGUGAAUAGCUUUAUGGAAUCAAGUAUGUCCCUGAGUAGCAAGAUUAGGCCUCACCAAAGAAGAAAUUAACCUGCACUUUCAAAAAGUACCAUGUAUAGGAAUGAAACAUUGAGGUCCCACUUUAUUCUGUCUUUAGUACAUGGUUUUACUUAUUUUGGGGAUGGAUAGAAAUAUAUUUUUGCUAGUUCUAGGCUUGAAUCAUGGGCUCCUUGGCUUUCCUAGCAUCCCAAAGCAGUCAACAGUGAUUUCUUAAGCAAUUUGAUCUGUACCUUUACUUGUGAAAGGUAUGCUAUAUAAUUCAGCAAGUACCAACUUGUGUAGCUGCAGAAUAACCAAGUGGCUAUCCAGUCAAGUAAAUACAGUUUGCUUACAUACUUCAACAGUUUCAUAAAACGAUUCCCCUGAGUGACACAAGAACAUAAAAUGUUAAUAUCACUAAUAUAGCCUGUUAAAUCUUUUGUGGAGACAGGUGCAAAUCAGAAGAUUGACAAGGAAGAACUUGAGCUUGCUAAGACUUCCUAAAUUUAAAAGCUCUAGUUUUGCUUAGUGUGAAUUCUGGCACUUUAAAAAGAUUAAGCAAGUGAAAAUCUGCUGCCCUCCACCAUUUAUUUUUACAGUGCUUUGUAAUUUUUUUCAUCAGUUCCUUAAAUGUUAUUUGGAGGAAACUAAGUUCUUGACCUCAGUAAUUUUAUUUUUGUUUUUCCCUAAAUGUUUCCCUACUAGUCUUCUUGGAAAACAUGUUUAAUUUCAUCUUCCCUCACUUUAUUUAGGUAGAAUUUUUCCCCCUUCAUUUCUGAAAUUUUUUGCUCACCGCCAUGUUUAAAUGGGGUUGAAUCAUAGCGAGCCAUUUGCUCUUGCCAAAGUGAGAUAGAUGUACUGAGGAGAUAAUUGAAAAGUCAGACUCUGUACUGUGGGGCUUUAAUCGGAGCACUGCUGGAAAUGAUUGCAGAGAAUGUAGUGCUUCAUAUAUCCAUGACCAAGAUUGACAUGUUGCUCACAACAUGUCACAAUUUAGUGAGGAGCUACAUGUAUUUCCAAGAAUUCCAGCAUAGAUUAUAAUUUAAAUAAUCGAAUUUGGUAUUUAGGUACAUUGUUUAUAUAGCCAAGUGUAUAUGCUUUACUACCUAACAAUUAUUCUAGCCUAGGUGAAUCCCUAAUUGAAACACCUGGCUAACACUUUAGACACAUAAAUUAAGUGGGAUACAGUUUUCUCAUUUGUAUUAUCUCCAGCUUCAACCUCAUUCAUCCUUUUUCCUAGUAUAAUACAUUGUUUUCAACCAGAAAUUAAAGUAGAUAUCCAACAUUAUUUUCAGUGCUUGUACUUCAUGAGAAAUAAUCUGAUUUUCAAGACACCUCUUAAGUGCAUUUGCAUUUUAUUUUGGUAAUGGCAGAGACCUCAUGUGGCCAGUUUGAUUGAUUGAAGAAUGUAUCACUCUUAUUCAAGCAAAG